UACGGAGGAUGCGAGCGUUAUCCGGAUUUAUUGGGUUUAAAGGGUGCGCAGGCGGCGUGUCAAGCAAGCGGUAAAAUAGCGGGGCUCAACCCCGUCGAGCCGUUUGAACUGGCGCGCUUGAGUUCAGGCGAGGUAGGCGGAAUUCGUGGUGUAGCGGUGAAAUGCAUAGAUAUCACGAAGAACUCCGAUUGCGUAGGCAGCUUACCAGUCUGCGACUGACGCUCAGGCACGAAAGUGUGGGUAUCGAACAGG
rnacentral:rRNA from 1 species